rnacentral:rRNA from 1 species
UAUGGCCAUAUCACAUUGGAACAUUGGUUCCCUGUACAAUCACUGAAGUUAAGCAACAUCUAGCUCAGUCAGUACCUAGAUGGGUGACCACUUGGGAAUACCAGGUGCUGUAAU